CCUACGGGAGGCAGCAGUUGGGAAUCUUGGACAAUGGGGGAAACCCUGAUCCAGCCAUGCCGCGUGAGUGAUGAAGGCCUUCGGGUUGUAAAACUCUUUCGACGGGGACGAUAAUGACGGUACCCGUAGAAGAAGCUCCGGCUAACUUCGUGCCAGCAGCCGCGGUAAUACGAAGGGGGCUAGCGUUGUUCGGAAUUACUGGGCGUAAAGCGCGCGCAGGCGGUCUUCCAAGUCAGUGGUGAAAGCCCGGAGCUCAACUCCGGAACUGCCAUUGAAACUGUAAGACUUGAGGACGAGAGAGGUGAGUGGAAUUCCCAGUGUAGGGGUGAAAUUCGUAGAUAUUGGGAAGAACACCGGUGGCGAAGGCGGCUCACUGGCUCGUAUCUGACGCUCAGGCGCGACAGCGUGGGGAUCAAACAGGAUUAGAUACCCUGGUAGUCCACGCCGUAAACGAUGAAUGCUAGCCGUUGGGUAGCUUGCUAUUCAGUGGCGCAGCUACGACAUAAGUACACUUCCGUCCGUCGGGGUAGGUACGGGCCGGCCGAACGGUUAGUAAACGUUAAAGUAAGUAGUAGGACGCGAGAGACGUCGACGACGACGACGACGGAGGAGGAG
rnacentral:rRNA from 1 species